rnacentral:rRNA from 1 species
UACGGAGGAUGCAAGCGUUAUCCGGAAUGAUUGGGCGUAAAGCGUCCGCAGGUGGCUGUGUAAGUCUGCUGUUAAAUAGUGAGGCUCAACCUCAUAAAGGCAGUGGAAACUACACGGCUAGAGUGCGUUCGGGGCAGAGGGAGUUCCUGGUGUAGCGGUGAAAUGCGUAGAGAUCAGGAAGAACACCGGUGGCGAAAGCGCUCUGCUAGGCCGCAACUGACACUGAGGGACGAAAGCUAGGGGAGCGAAUGGG